rnacentral:lncRNA from 1 species
CCUAACCUAAGUAGAGUAGUAAUGAAGCCAGUUCAAGACACCUACUAGGAUAUAAAUAAACAAUAUAAAAAUGUAAUAAGGAUAAAUAAUGGAAAGCGGAGAAGUAACUGAUACGAAAUAGUUAACAACAUAAAACAAUACCGAAAUUGUAAGCACGGGAGAACAAUAAGAAUCAUAAUGAAGUACCGCCUCAUGUACAAUAAGAAUCACCAUCGAGGUACCGCCUCGUGUAUAUAUAUCAAGAAUCACAACCGAGGUAUCGCCCCAUAUUCACAAUUCACAAUAUCAAUCUCAAUCUUUCCUUAUGCCGCCGCGUGAGCCUUAUAUUUGAAAUAGGUUUUGAAAAUAGUUUUCCCAAAAUAGCUACACUCACUUUAGCCCACCUUAUGAUGCCGCGUGGCUUCACGUAGUUCCCCUACAAGCAACGCGCACAUAAAUCCCACCUUAUACUGCCGCAUGCACAUUAACCCCAAACCUUAUACCACCGCAUGCGUGUCAAUAUCACAUCACAAUCACAACUUGCACCACAAGUGCCUAUAUGUCACAAAUUGCCAACAAUCAACAAUAUCCAUAUUUUCACAACAAUAGCCCAUGGCUCCACCACAACGGGUACAAGAAUAUCAACAACAAUAAUGAAUGUAAAAUGCUCAAAAAGGAAGAGGUUUUAACAAUAACAAUUUUGCCUGAACGUGAUAACAUCUUUCACAACUUCAACACUAGUAACUCAAUAGUGAGAUAAUGUAUAACCAUGAUAUUAAAUAAGAACAACUCACAAUGGAAGAGAAAACAUAUAGCAAUGCCUUCAAAUAAUGAAAAUCAACAAGAAAAGGUAUAACAUGAACAAUAACCUCAAGUAAUGAUAAUCAAUAAUGAAGGAGAUAACACGAACAAUAAUAUCAAAUAAUGAUAAUUAACAACGAAGAGAUAGCAUGUAACAAUAAAAGAGGCAACAAGUUCAACUAAGGGAUGAGAUCAAUUUAUCAAGUAGGAUGUAGAACAAGUGUUAAACAUGUCAAUUAAGGCAUGUAAGGAUAGACUACCACAAAUAAGGAUAGAUUGACAAUGAGAAUUUAGAACAUGAUAUGUCAUUUCAAUUAAAGCAUGGAAAUAGUCUAAGUAGCCUAAACCAGUCAAACACCACGUACAACCCGUGUUCUCACUCGUCACCUUGCGUACACGGUUUUCUCAUAGCACAAAAGACACAAUCAAUCCCAAUUCCCAAGGGGUAGUUCCCUCAUACAAAGUUAGGCAAGAUACUUAUCUCAACUAGGCCAAUUCAAUACUCGAAAAUAACUUUUUCCUUAAAAUUCGCCUCCUCAUGGCUCAAUCUAGUCAAAAUCGACUUAAUAUCAUCAACAAUGCUAGGGAAAUCAAUUACAAUAGAUAAAGCAAAGAUCUUUACAUUUUCCCCAAAAAGUCAACAAAAGUCAACCCAAGGCUCGCCCGGUCAAAACUCGGGUCUAAUGAUAGAUUUCGAAUACCCAUGACCCCAGGAGUUCAUAUACAUUAGUUUCAAAAUCCGACUCUAAAUCGACUCUCAAAACUCAAUUUCUUGUUUUUUAAAAACUUGACAAAGUUUCAUAAUUUUUUACUUUGAUUCACAUGAUUUUGAUGUUAAAAUCUAUGAUAUAUUGAUGGAAUAUGAUUUGAAAUAGAUUAGAAUACCUUACCCAAAGUUUUUAGGUGAAAAUCCCCUCUCCAAAUCGCCUCCUACCGACUCUAGGGUUCAAAAAUGAGAGAAUAUUUUUAAAAAUCUGUCUCCCAACCCUUUGUACCAGCGGCAUAUGUCAGAGUUGCGACACAGGUUUCGCAUUUGCGAACCCUUGCAAUUGCAGACUAGGGCUCGCAUUUGCGAACCCUGACAUCAUCAUGGAUCAUCACAAUUGUGAGAAAAGACUUCGCAAUUGGGAACUGGCCAUCAUCACAAAAGCGAAAAUUUGUUCUCAAUUGUGAACAAAGCGAUCAGUCAUUUUGUGUAAUUGUGCCCCGUUAUCCCUUCUCCGCUUUCCAUUAUUUAUCCUUAUUAUAUUUUCAUACUGUUUAUUUAUAUCCUAGUAGGUGUCUUGACCUGGCCUCAUCACUACUCUAUUGAGGUUAGGCUUGAUACUUGUUGGGUACCAUUGUGAUGUACUCAUACUAUGCUUAUGCAUAUUUUUGUGUAGAUCCAGGUACGUCUGCUCAUGCCAGUAAUCAUCUGUCAGCUACUUUACGGAGACUUCAAGGAAUACUUGCUCGGCUUUCGCAGGCCAUAGAGUCACCUUCCUUUACUUUUACAAUGGUUGAAUUUUUAAUUCAGACAGUGAUGUAGUAGAUACUCUAGUAUGACUCUGUAGAGAUUAUGACUAAGUUUCACCGAUCUUGGAGAGUGUACUAUUGUUGAUCAUAUUUUUGGAAGUUUAUAACAAUUAUUCAGCAUUAUUUUAGUUUUGUUAAUUAUUUCCGUCAAGUUAUUAUUAACUUUUAGGCUUAUCUAGUUGUAGAGACUAGGUGUCAUCACGACAUCCUACGGAAAACAAUUAUGGUCGUGACACUUUCAGAUAGAUUACCUUGCAAAACAAAAAGACAAACGUUAGUGAAAUAAUGUUAAAAUAUGAAGUAAUUGAAAUAUUUUUGAAAUCAUCUUUGAAAAUAUUAAAAAAUGGCAAAAUAUUUUUGAAAAAUAUUUUGUAUUAAAAAUAUAUUUUGAAAUAGUUAUGGGGGCUGAAAUUGUUUUCUUUGAUUUCGUCUAGACAUGAGAACAGGAACCUCUUUGGUUGCGACUGCGGUGACCAACCGUGUCGCUGUCCGAAGAUUAUUGGUUCCUCACAUUUAUCAUCUUUUCCUUAUUUAGGUGAAUAUGGACAUCGCCUCGUUAUAUUAGGGCCCGGUUUGGAGGGUCGUGGCCUCACUAACUAGAGGAUGUUUUCAUCGACCUUUAGUGUAAUAUCCUUUAUUUUUUAAGGAAAACCAGUCACAUCCCAAUCAUGUGACAUCUAGUCUGAAAUUGAUGAUGUUCGAGUGUAGUAUCUUGUUGGAAUCUUUAAAGACCAACAAAAGAAUAUCAAAGAUGUUACCAAACCAACAUAUAAUUAACCAAAGCCUAGAAUUACAGCAACCAUAAAAUUGAUAAAAGAUUAGGCGAAAACCAAAUCCAGUAACAAAAUUGGCGGAAAAGCAAUAUUAAAGUAAUGGGCCAGCCAACUUAAACGAGUCUUUCGACCAAAUCUUCGGAGUAGUCAAAAAAGCUCGAAAACGUCACCAUCAGAGCGAUAGUAGUAUGACACAUACAAAGUAACAAUGUCAACAAAGCUUUUAGCUCAAUGUCGGAAGGCCUCCGAAAAAGACGAACAAAAACAGCCAGAUUUGCACACGUAGAAGCAAACAAAAUGGGAAGAAGAAGAUAAAGUAGAGGGUCGUGCAGUUUGAAAGGGAGGUGAAAGAGAGUGGUCGCCAUCCUGUGCGCCAGUGGUGGUGACGCCGGUGGACCCCUUGGCAGUGAUAACCCCAAAAUGAGAGAGGGAAAAAGGUCAAGGUGGCUGAUGGGAGGUUGCCAGAUUCCGGCCAGUCGUCAGUGAUAAAAGAUAGCAGUGGAAACAUUAGGGAGAGAGAUCACAUAGAGGAGAGUGACGACGACUGUCUAAAAAUGAGGAGAAGAGAAGUUAUUAGGUUUUUAGGUUUUUUAAAAUGUAAAAUCCCCUUUUCUUAAAAUCUGAACCCCACCCCACCCCCCGCCCCCCCAAAACCAAUUAUAUCUAUGUGUGUAUGUAAAACAAAAAGAAAAAUAUGCAUAAAUGUAUAAUAAAUGUAGAGAGCAAAAGAUCCAAGUGCUUGAAUGUGUAAAAAAGUGAGGGAUGAACCCUUUAAUAUAGGCGUAGGAAACGUUUUUCACCUAGUAGAUAAAAGAGUCUUGCCCAUUUGGUAAAAUAAAUGUGUGGUUCUCAUAUAAGUGAUAUAGAAAAGUAAAAUAUGUGGUCCAAAGGUAAAACCACCAUCCAGAAACCAUGGGCAAAAAUCAUGUGCCGGAAUACCAUGUGCUCCUUUAUCAGUGUACAUAUAUAUAAGUGCAUUUGUAAAUAUGCACAGUACAAGAUAUAAUAUGUAAUUGCAUAUAAUGGUGCGAUUAAAAAUACAAUAAUUAAAAUAUGUAUGAAAAUAUUAAGAAAAAUAUUAUCCGUGUUUGAAACAAUUAUGUUGGCUUCCAUGCAUUAACAUACUGUGCUAUAAACUAGAAGAUUAUUUAAUAAAAAUAUGUCUUGUAGUACUUUGAAAAAUAGCAAGGACUAGAACAAUAUUGUAGUAAUUAUUUUCUUUUUCUUUUUCUUUUAAAGACAACAAGUUAAUAAAAAUCCUAUUACAUGAAAAAUAGGACAAUAGUCAAUAAAUUAUUUCAAAAUUUAGAAAAAUGCGCAAAAUGGCGAUUUUUGAAUGACUACAACAAUAUGAUAAAAAUUACUGUACUUUGUAAAUUAGAAAUAAUUAUCAAUAAAUUAUUUUAAAGUUAAAAACAUGUAAAGAGACUUUAUUUCACUAUUAAUGAAUAGGAAGCCUAUAGAAAUUAAUUUUAAAUCGCCUUAUUUUACACGAGUUAAAAUAAAAAAUAACUUUUGGUUCUUUUGAGGUUAGUAAAAGUGAAGAGUCACCGCAUAACAUUUAAGAUAUAUUAGGGUACCUAUAAGUUAGAUGUGGAUCAAUAUCUUAAUAGUUUUCUCACGACCCGAAAACCCACCAUAGGCGUCGUGAUGACACCUAGUCUCUGAGAUUAGGUAAGUCGAUUACUUUACCACAGUCAAACCAGUUAAACAUGGUAUUUUAAAGCAAAGUUUAAUAUAAAUACUCCACUAAAUGUGACAUAAGCCCACCCGGCAAUAAUCACAACAAUCCUCCCAAGAUUAGGUAAUACAGAGUCACGAAUUCUAGCUGAAUUCAUAGAAAUAUCUCAAAACAACAAAGUACAAGACUGUUCGGAUAAUGAGUUAACAGUACAAUCAAAAGGAAAAAGACUCUAAGGGACUACGACGAUUAAGCAGCGGUAUCUGGAAUCCUCGUGAUCAAGAAGUUAACUCUGCCUGAGUCCGAUAUCUCCAAUGCCUGGAUCUGCACAAAAAUAUGUAGAAGUGCAGUAUGAGUACACCACGGUCGGUACCCAAUAAGUAUCAAGGCUAAUCUCGAUGGAGUAGUGACGAGGUACAAGUCAAGAUACCUACUAGCCAUAAUAACAUGUGUAAUAAAUAAGUAUAAAGCUAAUAAUGGAAGCAAUAAGCAGUAAAUGACAACAGAGAAUAAACAUGUGAUUUAACCGUAAAGUAAUCCGAACACCGAUUAAGUACCAGUGAAACCAAUUAAGGAAAAGCAAUGACAACCAAAUAUUCAAACCAUUCUAACACAAGUUUCACAAUAGAAUUACUCUGAGAUACCUCAUCUCAUAAAUACAAGUCACGAGUCUCAAACCAUAAAUCAUAUGAUUAUGGCACCUAGUGCCCACAUUAUUAAUCAGAACCGCACGGACAACUCAAGUGCCAAUAUCUCAAUCUGCGCGGUAGGAUCACAGGCUCAUAAUCAGAAUCCGUCCGGCGUGGUCACAAGCUCACUAUGAGAAUCCGCCCGACAUGAUCACAUGCUCAACAUCACAAUGGAAGCAUAUACUAUAAGAAUACAUGGACAUGAUCAAUGAAUGUCAAGCUUCAUACUCCUGAACUAGUAUAAGUGACAUGCUACGGUGUAUGCUUGUGCGACUGUACUAUUACAGUCCAGGUCAACUAGUAUCAAAAUCAUCGAGUAGCUCAUUGGAAGCAACACAACAAGUCACGUAAGGUGCAUGACAUACACAAGGAAAUCACACCAUCACACGAAUAUCAUCAACAUUUAGCCCCCAGGCCAUCACAUAUCAUCUCUGACAUCGCCACCCUUAUAUCUCCGUAUUGACAAUAUUAUAAUAGACACCCUUAUCGCUCACAUUAACAGAAUAGCCACCCGUAUCACUUUGCAUAAUAGCAAGACAAUAACACAAUAACCACCCGUAUCACUCCGCAUAAUAUCCACCCGUAUCACUCCCCCCAGAUAAUAAUACAAUAGCCACCUGUGUCACUCCGCAUAAUCAACAACAGUGAGAUGCCACCCUUAUACUCUGCAUAACAAUAAUCAAUCCACACAACAAAUCCACAGGUGCUCACAUCAAAACAACACAACAUAUCAACUCGAACCAUAAGUGUCCAUAGUCCAUAAUCUCUUAACAACAACGGUACCAAUAUCAUCACAACACAUAGCCCACGGCUCAAAUACGAUGUGUACAAGAAUCUCAUUAGCAACAAAAUGAAACGGGGAAUAUAGCUCGACAAUAAACAAUACUCCAUUAAACAACAACUUCAACUAAAAUAGGUUAAUGGAUUUUAAUAACUUCAACUUCAAUUAAUUGCUUAAGAAUAAACUCAAUAAUGAAGGUAUUUACAUGAAAUGGCAACUUUGAAUUCUUGUGUAUGACAUAAGCUAACGAUGAAAGAGAUUGCAUGAACUAGCAACUACGUCUAAAUGCAUGAGAAUAACUUGACAACGAAGGGAUAUCAUGUAAUAGCAACUUCAAAUAAGAAUAAUUUAACAAUGAAAGAGGUAACAUGAUGAUGAAAGGUAACAACUUCAAAUAAAGCAUAUAUGAGUAAACUUGACAAAUAAGGAUAGAACAUGUGCUAACAACUUUAAUUAAAUCAUAUAAAAAUAAAUUUAACAAAGGAAUGUAGAACAUGUAAUGACAAAUUUAAUUAAAUGCAUAUAAGAAGCCUAAGAGUCUAAUCCGGUCAAUUCCCACAUAUAAGGUCGUGUACCCACUCUUCCACAUAAUUCAAAUAGUACAAUUAAAUCAAAUCCUGCGGGAUAUUUCUCCCACACAAAGUUAGGCAAGAUUCUUACCUCAAAGAAGCUAAAUCAAUACUCUAAAAAGACCUCCCCAUGUGAAACAACCUCCAGACGGCUCGAAUCUAACAAAAAUAACUUAAUAUCAUAAAUAAGAGUCAUAGGAAAUAAUUCUGGAUAAUAAAGUUUUCAUCUUUAAUGAAAACCAAAAAGUCAACCCCAGGCCCGCACCUUGGAACCCGACAAAACCAAAAAGAUCCAAACACCCACUCCGAUAUGAGUUCAACCAUACCAAAAUCAUCUAAUUCUGACAUUAACUCGUCCUUCAAAACAUCAUUAUUGUGUUUUAGAAAGUUUUUACAAAAAUUCCUGAUUUCUCCUAUUCAAAUCACUAAUUAAAUGAUGAAAACAAGUAUGGAAUCAUGAAAUAAAACCAGAUCCAGAUCAAGAAUACUUACCCCAAUUUAAAUCGUGAAAAUUCCCUCAAAAAUUUCCCAAAACCGAGUUCUCUAACUCAAAAAGAUAUUUAUACAUCGCGAUCGCGGAAAAUACAUAGAGAUCGCGAAGAUGAAACAACACUGCCCAAAAUAUGCGCUACGCGAAUGCCACAUCAGGGACAUGAAAGUGACUCACCACGACCUCAGCUUACGCGAUCGCGAGCCACUUCAUGCGAACGCGUAGAACAAAAGUACUUGGCCUCCCCAACAUGGUCGCCCACUACGUGAUCGCAUAACCCCUAUCAUGAAUGUGCUGAGUCAACUUCCACAUGUCAGCGAUUGCGAACCACACACUGUGAAUGCAAAAAAGGAAAAUCUAGCAGUGCACCAAAUACCUUACGUGAUCGUGACUGGCUCUUCGCGAUCGUAAAAAAGGACAUCAGACACCAACAAUUUGAAAUUCCAAACCUGAGGAAAUGGCCCGUAGCACAUCCGAAACACACCCGGGGGCUCUGGAACCCCGUUCGAACAUAUCAACAAGUUCCAAAACAUAACGCAGGCCUGCUUAAGGCCUCAAAUCACAUAAAAAAAUCAAAACUACGAAUCACACCUAAAUUCAAGCCUAACGAACUAAUGGACUUUCAACUUCUACAACUUGCACCGAAUCAUAUCAAAUCAACCCGGAAUGACCUCAAAUUUUGCAUGCAAGUCCCAAAUGAUACAAAGAGCUAUACCAACUCCCAGAAUCACAAUCCGAAUCCAAUAUUAACAAAGUCAACUCCCCGUGAAACCUCUCAACCUUCCAAACCUUUAAUUUUUCAACUUUCGCCAAAAAGAAUAUAAUCAACCUAUGGACCUCCAAAUGCAAAUACGGACAUACGCCUAAGUCUAAAACCACUAUACGAAGCUAUUGGAAUCAUCAAAAUACCAUUCUGGAGUUGUUUACACAAAAAUCAAACUCUGUUUAACUCUUACAACUUAAGUUUUUAAAAUAAGAAUCAUUCUUCCAAAUCGAUCCCAAGUCGCACAAAAAUCGAAACCGACCAUAUCCACAAGUAAUAAUAUAUGAUAUAAAGUUUCUCAAGACCUUAAACUACUGAACGUAAUGCUAAAGCUCAAAACGACCGGCCGGGUCGUUACAUUCUCCCCCUCUCAAACAAACGUUCGUCCUCGAACCUGUCGAGAACCGUUCUGAAGUCAUCAAAUCACUGAAUGAACUCACCCUACACAUGCUCAUGGGUGAUCCCACGUCACCCUAAUACAUAUAAGCCUGACAACACCAUCUCAACUAUAGAUUAUUCCUUCCAUAUAUAUCGAUAAGCCUUAGAACAAAUUUCAACAUCUAAUUAUCCCCCAAAGACCCGAUUCACAUACAUGCACCCUGUAUCAACCUCAACCAGCUGCAAAAAAUCAUGCAUACACCCACAAGGUAUAACCACACGACGUAACACACCAUCCAUAUUCCCGUAGCAACAACUCUGACCACAAUAGUUGUCCAUAAUAAAAUCCAACACCGGUGAAUAACCUCAUAUUAGCUAGAACCAUGUUCCAAACCUUCCCAACACUUCUCAUAACCACUCGUCUAAUCAACAAGUCACACCCAAUGCCACCUGGGUACAUACCUCGCAACCUAAACCCAACAAGCACAACUCAAAUAUGACUGAAUAUAAAAAGAGAAACACAUGAGAGAACUAUCAACAAGUCCAACAUGUACAACUCCACAUCAGUAUCAUACUACGAAUCCAUUCCACAAGGGAGAAACAAAAGAUAUGAACUAAUUUUUACAGGGGUCUCAUCCUAAUAUAACUCCACCGCAACAUGUAGCCCAGUUCAAACAUAACAACCCACAUGAAAACGCGAGGAUACCAUCCUCAGUUCUGAAUCACAAGUAGAGCAAACAUCACACCGACCAAAAACUUUUCACAAACUCAAUUCUGCGGAACAAAAUCAUAACACGUAAUGGUAGAGCACCCAAAUCAUAAGUCGUAGUCUAAAAAUCCAGAAAUCACAUCAAAACCUACCAUAUUAAGUAACAGGAAGUUCAUCCUAGUCUCAAAACUCUCAAUAGUGAACAAACCAAAAUAAUAAAUACGGACUACCACUAUAGAAUCUCCCAAUAGGGGCAAACACAUAAGCAAAGUACAAGAAUAACGAAACGUAUCCAUAUAUGAAGCAAGAUAGGAGGACUCGUACUGAUAAAUAGGUCCAGAUCAAAAUAUGAUUGAUGGUCCUCUAUGAUAAACAAAAACCAUACCUGUAAUGACAUCAUCUGGUGCAGUAGCCUCAUCCCUACCAGGGAAAGCAUAUCAACGGGUCGGGCCUCCCCCUCUAAGAUGCCCUCUACCCGCCUAUCUUCCACCUCUAGCUGGCUGUGUAGGUGGAGUAGCAACUAGAAUGGGGCCCAUAGCCUGAGUGCACUGAUGAAAUCCACCUCUCCCAAGUCUAGGAGAAUCCCUCAUGAUGUGCCUAGUAUCGCCACACUCAUAACAAUCCCUCUGCGGGAGUGGCUGCUGGUACUGGGUCUAUGCCGGAUAACUGAAAUAACUGUUGUAGGAACCCCGCACAGCUGGUGCACUAAACGAUGACUGACCCAUAUGAGUACCCUGAGGUCCCUGACUAGCUGAAGCACCACGAGUAGUCUGAAGUACGGAAUGUACUGGCCGACUACUUAGCCUCCGCCGUGAUGAGUCAUAGCUGAAGAGUAUAAUCCAUUGAAUCCUCCAGAACCUUGAGACCUCUUGGCCUCCUUAUCCUCCCUCUCCUCACCCCAAAUACGCUCUAACCUCUUGGAAAUCUCCACAACCUGCUAAAACGGAGUACCAGUCUCUAACUCCCGAGCCAUACUGAAUCUAAGACCAUAACUGAACCACUCGAUAAAUCUGCGGACUCGCUCUCUAACUAUAAGAACAAAGGUAGGUGCAUGUCGGGACAUCUCGCUAAACCUGAUGGGCGUACUCCAAUACUGUCAUAGUGCCCUGGCACAUGUCACGACCCAAAACUCAAUAUGUCAUGAUGGCGCCUAUCAUAGUACUAGGAAAGCCGAUAACCACAAAUAACUAUGCAUUUUUAAAUUGAAAGCAAGAUGAAACAGGUUUAGCAGUAAUAACUCUCAUAAAUAGUCGAUAAGAAACUCAAAUACAAAAUUCCCCAAAAAUUGGGUGUCACUGAGUACAUGAGCUACUAUAUCAACAUAGUCAAAACUUCUAAUACAAAUGUCUGGAAAGAUAGAACAGUGCUAAAUAAUAGGAAAAAUAAGGAGAGUCAAGAUCUGCGGACGCCAAGGCAACUACCUCAAAAGUCUCCAAGUCGGAAGUACUCCAAAUCUAGCAACCACCGGGCCUAGAAUUACCUGGAUCUACACACGAAGUACAGAAUGUAGUAUGAGUACAACCGACCCAAUGUACUCAAUAUGUAACAGGACUAACCUUGGGCUGAAAGCAGUGACGAGCUCAAAUAGGUACUGUCCAAAUCCAAAUUAUAAUAGUACAGAAAUGAUAGAAAAAGGGACAGUAAUAACUCAGAGAAAUCUCAUAAUUAGUUUGUACAGAGUAUGAAAAUGUAGACAUUCUUUCAAGUUUAACAGUUUAAGUUCAAUACGGAUAAAAUAUGCCAAGUGUGACUGAUAUGAGGAAUGUUACAUGUCUAUAUCUACAUGUCAAAUGUGCAUGUCACAUGUAAUGCAUCACAAUGAUAACCUCACGUACUCACACUCUCAGAGUGCUCCAGCUGACUAUCUCAACUCUCACUCAUUACACUCAAUCACUCAGCACUGUACGGUACAUGCGCUCACUGUUGGUAUGUCAAGACUCUGGAGAAGCGGAUCCUGCCCAAGCACUAAUAUAAAGCCAAUAUGGCCUACUGCGGCGUGCAUCCCGAUCCCGUAAUAACAAUAUAUAAAGCCUAUAAGGCUUGCUGCAGCGUGCAACCCGAUCCAUAAUAAUAAUAUAUAUAAAGUCAAGAAGGCCUACUGCGACGUGCAGCCCGAUCCACACCUCACUCAAAACAUGACUCUCAUGCCCCAACUCAACAAUUAAUCUCUCCAGUCUCUCGGGCUCACCAAUCUCGUGCCAAACAACCCAAGCAAUGAUACAUGAGGCAACAAUAAAUAGCAAUUGAGACUGACAUAUGAUGUGCAAAUGAUAAAUGUAACUGAGUACAUAAUUACCAUUUAAGCAAAUAAAUCAACAGCAUAAAUGAUCCCAGUGGGUUCCAACAGAAGAAGCAUAUAAUCUAAACAUGAUUUCUAACAUGGAUUGUAGCUCAAUUACUCUAACACAUAGGAAUCACAUGAAUAGCAACAAGUUCUGAUAACUACACAGUACCACGGAAUCAACCAAGUCACAAUUACCAUGGUGCAAGCCCACACGCCCUUCAACUAGCAUGUGCAUCACCUCAACACCAACCACAUAAUACGUAUUUCAGGGAUUCAUAGCCUCAGAACCAAGUUUAGAAGUGUUACUUACCUCAAACCGCACAAAUCUCUACUCCAACAAGCCCUUGCUUUGCGAAUCGGCCUCUGNNNNNNNNNNNNNNNNNNNNNNNNNNNNNNNNNNNNNNNNNNNNNNNNNNNNNNNNNNNNNNNNNNNNNNNNNNNNNNNNNNNNNNNNNNNNNNNNNNNNNNNNNNNNNNNNNNNNNNNNNNNNNNNNNNNNNNNNNNNNNNNNNAUAAAGCUAGGUUCUUUAACAAAAGUCAAAAAGUCAACCCAAAAAGUUAACCUUCAGGCCCACAUAUCGGAAUCCGACCAAAUUAACAUAAAACGAACAUCCAUUCAACAACGAGAUCAACCAUACCACAAUUACCCAGUUCCGAUCUCAACUCGACCUUCAAAUCCUCAAAUUAUAGUUUAUGAAGUUUCUACAAUAUUUCCCAAUUUUUCCAACCAAAACACUAAUUAAAUGGGAAAAACAAUGAUAGAUUCAUGUAUAUUAACCAAAUCCAAGUUAGAAUCACUUACCCCAAUCAAUUCCUUGAAAAUUUCUCCAAGAAUCGACUCAAUCCGAGCUCCCAAAGUCCAAAUGUGAAAUAAUACUCUAACCCUCAUUUUUGAAAUUUUAUAUUUUGCCCAGUUGUUCCUCCUCGCGAUCGCAGAAAGUCCAUCGCGAUAACAAAGAACAAAAAUAUGCUGCCCUCAAAAUACUCAUCGCGAACGCGAAUAAACAUUUGCAAAUACGGUGCACAGAAACUCAACUCUACACGAUCGCACGCCUCCUCACGCGAUCGCGAUGAACAAACACGUGUCUUCCAGGCCACCCCUCCUUCCUUCUUCGCGAGCGCGGUACAACCCUCACGUUUGCGUAGUACUACUGACCAUAGCUCCAUGAUUGCAGACCAAUUCUCGCGAUCGCAUAGAAGAAUUUUCACAGUCGCCCAAACAACUCUUCACGAUCGCGGAUUUCCACUUGCGAUCGCGUAUAAGGAAAUCGGAAGCACAUGCAUCAGCAACUUUAGCAAAUCUUCUAAGUCCAAUUUCAAUUCGUUAACCAUCCGAAAUCCACCCGAGGCCCCUGGGACCUCAACCAAACACACCAACAAGUCCUAAAACAUCAUACGAACUCGCUUGAAGCCUUAAAUCACAUCAAACAAUACUAAAACUAUGAAUCUCACAUCGAUUCAAGCCUAAUGAAGUUAUGAACUUCUAACUUCCAAAACUAAUGCCAAAACAUACCAAACCAACUCCGAUUGACCACAAAUUUUGCGCACAAGUCAUAAAUAACACAAUGAACCUAUUCCAACUUCCGGAACCAAAAUCUGAACCCACAAAAUCAACUCUCGGUCAAACAUCUCAACUCUCCAAAUUUUAACUUUUUCAACUUUUGCCAAUUCAAGCAAAAAUCAUCUACGAACCUCCAAAUCAAUAUCCUAACACACUCCUAAGUCCAAAAUCACCAUAUGGAGCUAUCAGAACCAUCAAAAUGCCAUUCCGGAGUAAUUUACACACAAGUCAACAUCCGGUCAACUUUUUCAACUUAGGCUUCCAACCUUGGGUCUAAGUGUCCCAACUCAUUCUGAAACAUCCCCGGAACCAAACCAACUACCCCGUCAAGUCACAUAACAAUGAAUGAGCAUAGAAUAAGAAAUAAAUGGGGUAACGAGGCUAUAAUACUCAAAACAACCGGCCAGGUCGUUACAUUCUCCCCUUCUUAAAUAAACGUUCGUUCUCGAAUGAGUCUAGAGUCAUACCUGGGGUCUCAAAUAGGCAUGGAUAUCUAUUCCGCAUCUCCCGCUUGGUCUCCCAAGUAACCUCCUCGACUGGCGGACCUCUCCACUGCACCUUUACUAAAGCUAUAUUCUUUUACCUCAACUUUCGAACAUGCCGAUCCAAAAUGGCCACCGACUCCACAUCAUAAGUCAAAUCACCAUCUAACUGAACUGUGCUGAAGUCUAAAACAUGAGACGGAUCACCGAAAUACUUUUGGAGCAUGGAAACAUGAAAUACUAGAUGAACACUCGAUAGACUAGGCAGUAAUGCAAGCUUGUAAGCCACCUCUCCAAUCCUCUCAAGUACCUCAAAAGGGCUAAUAUACCGAGGGCUCAACUUGCCCUUCUUCUCGAAUCUCAUAACACCCUUCAUAGGCGAAACUCUGAGCAAUACCUUCUCUCCCACCAUGUAAGCAAUAUCACGAAACUCCCGAUUGGCGUAACUCUUCUGUCUAGACUGUGUCGUGCAAAGCCGAUCCUGAAUCAACUUAACCUUUUCCAAAGCAUCCUAAACCAAGUCAGUACCCAAUAUCCUAGCCUCACCGGGCUCAAACCAACCAACCGGAGCCCGAUAGUGCUUCCCAUACAAGGACUCAUACGAGCCAUCUAAAUACUCGAUUGGUAGCUGCUGUUGUAGGCAAACUCUACAAGUGACAAAAACUAAUCCCAAGAACCCUUGAAAUCCAUGACACAAGCGCAUAACAUAUCCUUCAAUAUUUGAAUGGUGUGCUCGGACUAUCAGUCCAUAUGAGGGUGGAAUGUUGUACUCAGCUCAACUCAUGUGCCUAAAUCUCACUGCACUGCUCUCCAAAACUGCGAUGAGAAUUGCGUGCCCCGAUCUGAAAUAAUGGACACCUGCACACCGUGAAGGCAAACCAUCUCGCAGAUAUAGAUCUCAGCCAACCCCUCCGAAGAAUAGGUAGUCCCAACAAGAAUGAAAUUCACGGACUUGGCCAACCAAUCCACAAUCACCCAAAUAGAAUCAAACUUCCUCAAAGUCCAUGGGAGAACAACUAGGAAGUCCAUGGUGAUACGCUCCUAUUUCCACUCAGGAAUUUCAAGCCUCUGGAGCAAACUGCCGGGCCUCUAGUGCUCGUACUUCACCUGCUGACAAUUUAAGCACCGAGCUACAAACCCCACUAUAUCUUUCUUCAUUCUCCUCCACCAAUAGUGCUGCCUCAAGUCCUGAUACAUCUUUGUGGCACCCAAAUGAAUGGAAUACUGCGAAUUGUGGGCCUCCUCAAGAAUUAACUCACGUAACCCAUCUAAAUUGGGCAAACAAAUCCGACCCUGCAUCCGCAACACCCCAUCAUCCCCAAUAGAAUCCUCCUUGGCAUCACUGUGCUGAAUCGUGUCCUUAAGGACAAGCUAAUAGGGGUCAUCAUACUGACGCUCUCUGAUGCGAUCAUAUAAGGAAGACCGGGAAACUACACAAGCUAGAACCCGACUAGGCUCCGAAACAUCUAACCUCAUGAACUGACUGGCCUAGGCCUGAACAUCUGAUGCAAGCGGUCUCUCACCAACAGGAAUAAAUGCUAGGCUAUCCAUACUCACCGCCUUUCUACUCAAGGCAUCGACCACAAUAUUGGCCUUCUCGGGAUGAUACAAAAUGGUAAUAUCAUAGUCCUUUAGCAGCUCCAACUAUCUCUGCUGCCUCAAAUUUAGAUCCUUUUGUUUGAACAAGUUCUAAAGACUUCGAUGAUCCAUAAAUACCUCACAAGACACACCGUGGAGAUAAUGCCUCCAAAUCUAUAUGCAUGAAUGAUGGAUGCCAACUCCAAAUCAUGAACAAGGUAGUCCUUAUCAUGAGGUUUCAACUGGCAUGAAGCAUAAUCAAUCACUCUACCCUCCUGCAACAAGACACACCCAAUACCAAUCCGAGAAGCAUCACAAUACACCAUAUUAGAACCCGACGCUGAAAGCAAAAUUAGAAUUGGAGUUGUGGUCAAGACAGUCUUGAGCUUCUGAAAGCUCUCCUCACACUCAUCCGACCACCUAAAUGGAGCACCCUCAUGGGUCAACCUGGUCAAAGGCGCUAUAAUGAACGAGAGACCCUCCACGAAGCGAUGAUAAUAUUCGGCCAAGCCGAGAAAACUCCGAAUCAUAGAAGCUAAAUAUGGUUUGGGCCAACUCUGAACCACCUCAAUCUUCUUUUGAUCCACCUUGAUCCCCUCACUUGACACCACGUGCCCCAAGAAUUCCACCAAAUUGAGCCAAAACUCACACUUGGAGAACUUAGAAUAAAGCUUCUCCUCCCUCAACCCCUGUAGUACAAUCCUCAGAUGUUGUACCUGCUCCUCCUGGAUACGCGAGUAUACCAGAAUAUCAUCAAUAAAUACUAUGACAAACAAAUCAAGAUAUGGCUGGAAUACACUGUUCAUCAGAUGCAUGAAUGCUGCUGGGGCAUUGGUCAGCCCAAAAGACAUCGCAAGAAACUCAUAGUGACCAUAACGGGUCCUGAAUGCCGUCUUCAGAAUAUCUGAGUCCCGGAUCUUCAACUAGUGGUACCCAGACCUAAAAUAAUUCUUAGAGAACACUCUAGCUCCCCGAAGUUGGUCAAAUAAGUCAUCAAUGCUCAACAAAGGAUACUUGUUCUUAAUUGUAACUUUGUUAAACUAUCUUUAAUCAAUGCUUAUCCGCAUAGUACCAUCCUUCUUCAUCACAAACAGAACCGGUGCACCCCAAGUCGACACACUAGGCCUAAUGAACCCCUUAUCAAGAAGCUCCUGAAACUGCUCCUUCAAUUNNNNNNNNNNNNNNNNNNNNNNNNNGGCAUGUCCGGCAAGUCUGCAGGAAAAACAUUCGGAAAGUCUCGCACUACCGAAAAUAAUCAAUAGUAGGAGUAUCAGCAUCAACAUCCCUCACAAAGGCCAAAUAUGACAAACAUCCCUUCCCAACCAUCCGUUGGGCCUUUAGGUAUGAAAUCACCCAAUUGGGACAAUAGUCCAGAGAACAUCUCCACUCGAUCCUAGGUAACCACAGCAUUGCCAACGUCACAGUCUUAGCGUGAUAAUCCAGAAUAGCAUGACAUGGGGACAACCAAUCCAUACUUAGAAUCACGUUGAAAUCAACCAUACCAAGCAAUAAGAGAUCAACUCUAGUCUCCAAUCCUCUAAUAGUCACCACACACGACCAAUACACACGGUCCAUAACAAUAGAAUCGCCCACCUGCGUAGAUACAUGAAAAUGUGAAACUACGGAUUCACGAGUCAUAUCCAGAUAACGAGCAAAAUUUGAUGAUACAUACGAAUAAGUGAAACCAAGGUCAAAUAAUAUAGAAUCAUCCUUGUGGCAUACUGAUACAAUAGCUGUGAUCACUGCGUCUGAAGCAACAGCCUCUGGCCUGGUAGGGAAAGCAUAGCAUCGAGCCUGACAGUCACCUGAUCGGCCUCCCCCUCUAGGGUGACCUCCAGUUGCAUGAGUCCCACCCCGAGCUAGCUGAGCGGGUAAGGAAGUAGCUGGUGCGGAAGCCGUAGCCUGAAUCUUCUACUGAACUGCACCUCUGAAGAAACGGGGUCAAUACCUCCUCACAUGUCCAAACUCCCUACACUCAUAGCAACUUUGAUCCGUCAAUGGUGAUGUAGACUAAAUCGGACCCCGAGAACCAGAAUAGCUACUGGAAGAAACUGGUACAGAUGAACCCUGAACUGAUGGAGCAUGAGAUAAACUCUAAGCUGGGAGGACACUGAGAGAUUACUAACUCGGGUGAGCACUGCAUGAACCAUGGCUAGCUGAUGCACCACGAUGAACUGGACUACUCAUCUGAGCGGGCCUAUAAGGACGACCCCUGCUGUAGUGGGACUGACCUCGAGAAGACACACCGUUGAAACCACCCGAACCACGAAGCCUCUUGGCCUCCCUAUCCUUAUGCUCUUGACUACGGACCUGCUCUAGCCGUCUAGCAAUAUCAACCACUUCGUCAAACCUAGCACCUGAUGCAAUCUCUCGAGUCAUAACAAAGUGCAGUCCAUAGUUGAGGCCAUCAAUGAACCUCCUAAUCCUCUCCCUCUCUGUGGGAACUAACCAGAUCGCAUGAUGAGCCAACUCUGAAAAUCUCAUCUCAUACUGGGUCACGGACAUACCCUCCAGGCAUAGCUAUUCAAACUGCCUAUGCGGCUCCUCUCUACGGGUCUAUGGAACAAACUUCUUCAAGAAAAUAAUGGAGAACUCGUGCCACGUAAGUGGUGCAGCAUUGGCUGGUCUGCUCAACUCCAAGGCCUCCCACCAUCUGAAGGCAGCCCCCAACAGUUGAAAAGUAGUAAAUAAGACUCCACUAGUUUCCAGAAUACCCGCCGUGUGAAGAAUCCGCUGGCAUCAGUCUAUGAAAUCCUCAGCAUCAUCUAACUCAGCCCCAUUGAAUAUCGGAGGCUUGAGCCUCCCAAACCUCUCUAGCCUCUUCUGCUCCUCGUCACUCAUAGGGGGACCCACCUAGGCCUGAGAAACUGCAGCCGACUGGGCUGGUAGUACCCCCGGUGUCUGAAGUCCCUGAACCAACUACUCUGUAGUUUGGGCAACAGGAGUUUGAGCACCUCCCCGACCUAAGAAGUAGCUUGCGCGGCCAGAACUGAAACCGCCUGAGCAAGGCUAGUGCAUACAGUCAAUAUCUGGGCCAGAGCCUCCUAAAGGCCUAGAAUCACAAUGAAGCUGGUGCCUGAGCUGGUCCUACCGGCUCAACCACAUCUGGGAUCUGCUCUUAAGCUGGAGCAACUUGUGGGUCUACAGGUGCUGCUCUAGCUAUUGUACGAGCUGCACCUCGGCCUCUACCGCGGCCCUGUCCUCUCAUGGCCCUAGCUGGUGGUACUGGUGGUCGUCCGGCCAAUCCGGUAGCACGUGUCCUGAUGAUCUGUGAGAGAAUAGAAUAAUAGAAGUUUAGUUUCUGGAAUCAACAACUCCGCACAACAAGAAUACAAGAAAGUGAAGUUUUUCUAAUGGUUCGGUAGCUUCUCGAAGAUAAGUACAGACGUCUCCUUAUUGAUCCACAAGACUCUACUAAACUUGCUCAUGAUUCGUGAGACCUAUGUAACCUAGGCUCUGAUACCAGCUCGUCACGACCCAAAACUCAACAUGUCGUGAUGGCGCCUAUCACAGUAUUAGGCAAGACGACAACCAUAAAUAACUAUGUAUUUUUAAAUUGAAAACAAGAUGAAACAAGUUUAACAGUAAUAACUCUCAUAAACAGUCGAUAAGAAACACUGCGACUCAAAUACAAAAAUUCCCCAAAAUUCGGGUGUCACUGAGUACAUGAGCUACUAAAUAUCAACAUAGUCAAAACUUCUAAUACAACUGUCUGGAAUGAUGGGACAAUGCUAAAUAAAAGGAAAAAUAAGGAGAGUCGAGGUCUGCGGACACCAAGGCAAGCUACCUCAAACGUCUACAAGCCAGAAGUACUCCAAAUCUAGUGACCACCAUGCCUAGAGGUACCUGGAUCUAUACAUGAAGUGCAGAGUGUAGUAUGAGUACAACCGACCCAAUGUACUCAAUAAGUAACAUGACUAACCUUGGGCUGAAAGUAGUGAUGAGCUCAAAAAGGUAACGAUACAUUUAUGACAGGAAAAAGGACAUUAAUAACUCAGAGAUAUCUCAUAAUCAGUUUGUACACAAUACAAAAAUGUAGACAUGCUUUCCAGUUUAAUAGUUUAUGUUCAACACGGAUAAAAUAUGCCAAGUGUGACUGAUAUGAGGAAUGUUACAUCUCUAUAUUUACAUGUCAAAUGUGCAUGUCACCUGUAAUGCAUCACAAUGAUAACCUCACGAACUCAUACUAUCAGAGUACUCCAUCUGACUGUCUCAACUCUCACUCAUCACACUCAAUCACUCAGCAUUGUACGGUACCUGCGCUCACUGCUGGUAUGUCAGACUCCGGAGGGGCGGAUCCUGCCCAAGCACUAAUAUAAAGCCAAUAUAGCCUGCUGCGGCGUGCAACCUAAUCUCGUAAUAAUAAUAUAUAAAGCCUAUAAGGCCUGCUCCGGCGUACAGCCCGAUCCAUAAUAAUAAUAUAUAUAAAGCCAAAAAGGCCUGCUGCAGCGUGAAGCCCGAUCCACAACUCACUCACAACACGACUCUCAGUCCCCAACUCAGUCAUUAAUCCCUCCAGUCUCUCUGGCUCACCAAUCUUGUGCCAAACAGCCCAAACAAUGAUACAUGAGGCAACAAUAAAUAGCAAUUGAGACUGAGAUAUGAUAUGCAAAUGAUGGAUGUGACCGAGCACAUAAUUACCAUUUAAGCAAAUAAAUCAACAACAAAAAUGACCCAGUGGGUCCCAAUAGAAGAAGCAUAUAGUCUAAACAUAAUUUCUAUAAUGGAUUGCAGCUCAAUUUCUCUAACACAUAGGAAUCACAUGAAUAGCAACAAGGUCUGAUAACUACACAGUACCACGGAAUCAACCGGGUCAUAAUUACCACGGUGCACACCCACACACCCGUCACCUAGCAUGGGUGUCACCUCAACACCAACCACAUAACACAUAUUUCAGGGAUUCAUACCCUCAGAACCAAGUUUAGAAGUGUUUCUUACCUCAAACCGCGCCAAUAUCUACUCCAACAAGCCCUUGCCUCGCGAAUCUUCCGCCGAACGAGUCAAAUCUAGCCACAAACAACUUAAUACAAUCAACACAAGCUAUAGGAAUCAAUUCCAAAUGAUAAAGCUAGGUUCUUUAACAAAAGUCAAAAAGUUAACCCAAAAAGUCUAGACAUGAUCCGACCAAAUUAACAAAAUAUGAAGUCCCAUUCAGCAAUGAUUACAACCAUACCAAAAUUACUCAAUUCCGAUCUCAACUCGACCUUCAAAUCCUAAAAUUAUAGUUUAUGAAGUUUCUACAAUUUUUCCCAAUAUUUCUAACCAAAAACACUAAUUAAAUGGUAAAAACAAUGAUAGAUUCAUGUAUAUUAACAAAAUCCGAGUUAGAAUCACUUACCCCAGUCAAUUCCUUGAAGAUCCCUCCAAGAAUCCCCUCAAUCCGAGCUCCCAAAGUCCAAAUAUGAAAUAAUACUUUAACCCUCGUUUUUGAAAUUUUAUAUUCUGCCCAGUUGUUCCUCUUCGCGAUCGCAGAAAGUCUCUCGCGAUCGCGAAGAACAACAAUAUGGUGCCCUCAAAAUACUCUUCACGAACGCGAACAAACAAUCGCGAAUGCAGUGCAUAGAAACAUUACUCUACUCCAUCGCACACCUUCUCACUCUAUCGUGAUGAACAAUCGCAUGGCUUCCAGGCCACCCCUCCUUCCUUCUUCGCGAACGCGGUGCAACCCUCGCGUUCGCGUAGUAAUACUGAACAUAGCUCCGCAAUCGCAUACCAAUUCUUGUGUUCGCAUAGAAUAAUUUUCACCAGUUGCCCAAACAACUAUUUGCAAUCGCGGACUUCCACUCGCAAUCACGUAUAAGGAAACCAGAAGCACAUGCAUCAGCAACUUCAGCAAAUCUUCUAAGUCCAAUUUCAAUCCGUUAACAAUCCAAUAUCCACCCGAGGCUCUUGGGACCUCAACCAAACAUACCAACAAGUCCUAAAAUAUCAUACGAACUCGCUCGAAGCCUCAAAUCACAUCAAACAACACUAAAACUACAAAUCGCACAUCGAUUAAGCCUAAUGAACUUAUUAACUUCUAACUUCCAAAACUAAAGCCUAAAAAUAUUAAACCAACUCCGAUUGACCUAAAAUUAUGCACACAAGUCAUAAAUGACACAGCGGACCCAUUCCAACUUUUGAAACUAAAAUCCGAGCCUGGCAACCACAAAGUCAACUCUCGUUCAAACUUCUCAACUCUCCGAACUUCAACUUUUCAAACUUUUGCCAAUUCAAGCCAAAAUCAUAUACGGACCUCCAAAUCAAUAUCCGGACACACUCCUAAGUCCAAAAUUACCGUACGGAGCUAUCGGAACCAUCAAAGCUCCAUUCCAUAGUCAUUUAUACACAAGUCAACAUCAUGUCAAGUCUUUCAACUUAGGCUUCCAACCUUGGAACUAAGUGUCCCAACUCAUUUUAAAACAUCCCCGGAAUCAAACCAAUCACCCCGGCAAGUAACAUAACAACAAAUGAGCAUAGAAUAAGCAAUAAAGGGGGGAACAGGGUUAUAACACUAAAAAGGGCUGCCAGGUCCGUUACUGCGUAGCUACUCAAACUCUGUGCGCAUGACUGAUAUGCUGCUCAUAACAGUUGAAAUGUAGUAAAAGCAACUCCACUCACCUCCACAAUACCCAUGGUGUGGAGAAUACAGUGACACUUCUCUAGAAAAUCUUGUGCAUCCUCAGUAGUUGUGCCUCUAAAAGUAGGUGGAUCAUACUUCUUGAACCUCUCAAGCCUUUUCUAUUCCUCUUCUGAUUCCCCUGGCCUGACCUCAAGCUGAACCGGAAUAACAGGAUGUACAGACACCACACCUGGAGUAUGACUAACAUGAGCCUGCUGCUAUGGAGUACGGGCGGCGGGAAUUUGAGCUCCUCCCCCAAUUUGUGAAGUAGCUGGUGCAACUGGGAUCAAUCCUGCCUGAGCCAAUAUACCAAACAUGCUCAUGAGCUAUGCUAAAGUCUCCUGAAGUUCGGGGGUAGCAAUAGGCACCUCCGGUGCCUGUCCCCCAACUAGAGCUAUUGGUGGCUCCUCAGCUGCUGCUCUGGCAUGUAGUCUAGCUGCGACACGUGCCCGUCCCCGUCGUCUACCUCGGCCUUGGCCUCUCGUAGUUCUGGUAGGGGUGUGGGUGUCUACUCGGUUGAACUGGUAGCGCGUGUCCUCACCAUUUGUGAGAGACUAGAGAUACAAAGAUUCACGUCGAAAUCAACAAAUCCGCACGACAGGAAUGAAAGAAGUGGAUUUUUUUCCUAAUAGUACUAUAGCUUCUCGAAAAUAAGUACAGACGUCUCCGUACCUAUCCGCAAGACUCUACUAAACUUGCUCGUGUUUCGUAGAACAUAUGAACCUAGAGCUCUGAUACAAACUUGUCACGACCCAAAAUCCCACCAUAGGCAUCGUGAUGGCUUCACAACAAUCCUCUCAAGACUAGGUAAUACAAAGUCAUGAACUCUAGCUGAAUAAAUAGAAAUAUCUUUUAAAAAAAGUACAAUACUGUUCAAAUAACGAUUUAACAGUACAAUCAAAAGAAAAAGGACUCUAAGGGACUGCGAUGACCAAGCAACUCUACCUUGAAUCCUCGCGAUCAAGAAGCUAAUUGUACUUGAGUCUGAUAUCUCCAAUGCCUGGAUUUGCACAAAAAUGUGCAGAAGUGUAUUAUGAGUACAUCACGGUCGGUACCCACUAAGCAUCAAGACUAACCUUGGUGGAGUAGUGACAGGUUACAAGUCAAGACGCCUACUAGUCAUAAUAAAUUGUGCAGUAAAUAAGUAUAAAGCUAAUAAUGGAUGCAAUAAGCAGUAAAUGACAACAAGGAAUAAACAUGUGAUAUAACCGUAAAGUAAUCCGAACACCGAUUAAGUACCAGUGAAACAAAUUAAAGAAAAACCAAUGACUACCGAAUAUUCAAAACGUUCUAACACAAGUUUCACAACAGAAUUACUCCGAGAUACCUCAUCUCAUAAUCACAAGUCACGAGUCUCAAACCAUAAAUCAUAUGCUCACGACACCUAGUGACCACAUUAUUAAUCACAACCACAUGGACAACUCAAGUGACAAUAUCUCAAUCCGUUCGGCAUGAUCGCAGGAUCACAAUCACAAUCCGCCCGGCAUGGUCACAGGCUCAAUACCAAAAUAUGCCCGACAUGGUCAUAGGCUCACUAUCACAAUCCGUCCGGCAUGAUCCCAGGAUCAAUAUCAAAAUAGUAGUAGAUAAUACAAGAAAACAUGGGCAUGAUCAAUGAAUGUCAAGCUUCAUAUUCCUGAACUGGUAUAAGUGGCAUGCUACGGUGUAUGCUUGUGCGAGUGUACUAUUAUAUUCCAGGUCAACAAGUAGUAUCAAAAUCAUCGAGUAGCUCAUUGGAAGUAACACAACAAGUCACGUAAGGUUCAUGUUAUACACAAGGAAAUCACACCAUCACACGAAUAUCAUCAACAUUUUGCCCCAGGACAUCACAUAUCAUCCCUGACAUCUCCACCCUUAUCUCUCUGUAUUGACAGCAUUAUAAUAGCCACCCUUAUCGAUCCGCCCAGACAUUAACACAAUAGCCACCUAUAUCACUCUACAUAAUAGUCACCCAUAUCGCUCCGCCCAGUCAAUAACACAAUAGCCAACCAUAUCACUCCACCCAGACAAUAAUACAAUAGCCACCCUUGUCACGUCACAUAAUCAAUAACAGUGAAAUUCCACCCUUAUGCUAUGCAUAACAACAAUCAAUCCACAGAAUAAAUCUACAUGUGCUCAUAUCACAACAACACGUCAUAUCAACUCAUACCAUAAGUGCCCAUAGGCCACAAUCUCUUAACAACAACAAUACAAUUAUCACCACAACACAGCCCACGACUCAAACACGAUGUGUACAAGAAUCUCAUUAGCAAUAAAAUGAAAUGGGGAAAAUAACUCGACAGUGAACAAUACUCCGUUAAACAACAACUUCAUUUAAAACAGUUUAAUGGCUUUCAAUAACUUCAACUUCAAUUAAUUGCUUAAGAAUAAACUCAAUAAUGAAGGUAUUUCCAUGAAGUGAAAACUUCGAAUUCUAGUGUAUGACAUAAGCUAACAAUGAAAGAGAUGGCAUGAACUAGCAACUACGUCUAAAUGCAUAAGAAUAACUUGGCAAUGAAGGGAUAUCACGUAAUAGCAACUUCAAAUAAAAAUAAUUUAGCAAUGAAAGAGGUAACGUGACGAUAAAAGGUAACAACUUCAAAUAAAACAUAUAAGAGUAAACUUGACAAAUAACAAUAGAACUUGUGCUAACAACUUCAAUUAAAGCGUGUAAGAAUAAAUUUAACAAAGAAAAGUAGAACAUGUAAUGACAAAUUCAAUUAAAUGGAUAUAAGAAGCCUAAAAGUAUAAUCCGGUCAAUUCCCAUAUAUAAGGUCGUGUAUACACUCGUUACCUCAUGUACACGUCUUGCACAUAAUUCAAAUAGUGCAAUUAAACCAAAUCCUAUGGGGUAGUUCCCCCACACAAAGUUAGACAAGAUACUUACCUCAAAGAAACUAAAUCAAUACUCUAAAAAUACCUCCCCGGGUGAAACAACCUCUAGACGGCUUGAAUCUAGCUAAAGUAACUUCAUAUCAUAAAUAAAAGCCAUAGGAAACAAUUCCGGAUAAUAAAGUUUCGAUCUUUAAUGAAAACCAAAAAGUCAACCCCGAGCUUGCACUUCAUAACCCAACAAAACCAACAAAAUCCAAACACCCAUUCCGAUAUGAGUCCAACCAUAUCAAAAUCAUCCAAUUCCGACCUCAACGCGGCCUUCAAAAUAUCAUUAUUGUGUUUUAGAAUGUUUUUACAAAAAUCCCCAAUUUCUCCUAUUCAAAUCACUAAUCAAAUGAUAAAAACUAGUAUGGAAUCAUGAAAUAUAACCAAAUCCGGGUCAAGAAUACUUACCCGAAUCCAAAUUGCGAAAAUUCCCUAAAACAUCUCCCAAAACCGAGCUCUCUAACUCAGAAAGUGAUAAAAUAGCAAAAGCCCUCGAAAUAGAGUACUAUAUAGUCUACCUAGGUAUUUAUACAUCGCGAUCACUAAGAAGAAAUAGCACUGCCCAAGAAAUGCGCUACGCGAACGCCACAUCAGGGACGUGAAUGCGACACACCACGACCUCAGCUUACGCGAUCGCGAUCCACUUUAUGCAAACGCGUAGAACAAAAGUACUUGGCCUCCCCAUCAUGGUCGCCACUAUGCGAUCGCGUAACGCCUAUUGCGAAUGCGCUGAUUCAACCUCCACAUGUCCGCGAUCACAAGCCACACACUGCAAAUGCGAAGAAGAAAAAUUUGUCGGUCCACCAAACACCCUACGCAAUCGCGACUGACUUUUUGCGAUCGCGGAGAAGGACAUAAGACACCAGCUAUCAGAAAUUCCAAACCUGAAGAAAUGGCUCGUAGCCCAUCCGAAACACACCCGGGGUCCCCGAGACAUUGUCCGAACAUGCCAACAAGUUCCAAAACAUAAUGUGGACUUGCUCGAGGCUUUAAAUCACAUAAACAAUAUCAAAACUACAAAUCGCCAAGCCUAACGAACUAAUGGACUUUCAACUUAUACAACUCGUGUCGGAUCAUAUCAAAUAAACCCGGAAUGACCUCAAAAUUUGCAUGCAAGUCCCAAAUUACACAAGGACCUAUACCAACUCCCGGAAUCACAAUCUGGACCUGAUAUCAACAAAAAACAUAUAAUUAACCUACAGACCUCCAAAUCCAAAUACAGACAUAUGCCUAAGUCCAAAAUCACCAUACGACGCUAUUGGAAUCAUCAAAACACCAUUCUCGAGUCGUUUACACAACAGUCAAACUUAUGUCAACUCUUAAACUUAAGCUUCUAAAACAAGAAUCAUUCUUCUAAAUCGAUCCCAAGUCGCACAAAAAUCAAAACCGACCAUAUCCACAAGUCAUAAUACAUGAUACGAAGUUUCUCAAGACCUUAAACCAUUGAACGAAAUGCUAAACCUCAAAAUGACCGGUCGGGUCGUUACAUUCUCCCCCUCUUAAACAAAUGGUCGUCCUCGAACGUGCCAAGAACCGUUUUGAAGUCAUUAAAUCACUGAAUGAACUCACCCUACACAUGCUCACAGGUGAUCCCACGUCACCCUAAUACACAUAAGCCCGACAAUACCAUCUCAACUGAAGAUUAUUCCUUCCACCUAUAUCGAUAAGCCUUAGAACCAAAUUUCAACAUCUUAUCAUCCCCCAAAGACCCGAUUCCCACACAUACACCCUGUAUCAACCUCAACCAGCUGCAACAGCUCUUGCAUACACCCACAAGGUAUAACCACAAGACAUAACACAUCGUCCAUAUACCCGUAGCAAUAACUCUGACUACAAUAGUUGUCCAUAAUCAAAUCCAACACCGGUGAAUAACCUCAUAUUAGCUAGAACCCUGUUCCAAACCUUCCCAUUACUUCUUAUAAUGUAAGAAACACGUAGAUCUCAUAACCACUUGCCCAAUCAAGAAGUCACACCCAACGCCACCUGGGUGCAUACCUCGCAACCUAAACCCAACAAGCACAACUCGAAUAUGACUGAAUAUGAAAAGAGAAACACAUGAGAGAACUAUCAACAAGUCCAACAGGUACAACUCCCCAUCGGUAUCAUACUACGAAUCCAUUCCACAAGGGAGAAACAAAACAUAUGGACUAAUUAUAAGGGUCACAUCCUAAUAUAACUCCACCGCAGCACAUAGCCCGGUUCAAACAUAACAACCCACAUGAAAACACGAGGAUCCCAUCCUCGGUUCUGAAUCACAAGUAAGGCAGACAUCACACCAACCGAAAAGCUUUCACUAACUCAAUUACGCGCAACAAAAUCACAACACGUAACAGACUUGCCAAACCGAUAGAGCACCUAAAUCACAAUUCGUACCCUAAACAUCCAAAAUCAUAUCAAAACCUACCGUUUUAAGUAACGGUUAGUUUUAGAACUCUCAAUAGUGAUCAAACAAAAAUAAUAGACACGGGAUACCACUAUAGAAUCUUCCAACAGGGGUAAACACAUAAGCAGACUACAAGAAUCAUGAAACACAUCCAUAUAUGAAGCAAGAUAGGAGGACACACACCAAUAAAUAUGACCAGAUUAAAAUAUGACUGAUGGCCCUCUAUGAUACACCAAAACCAUACCUGUAAUGACAUUAUCUAGUGUAGCGACCUCAGACCUACCAAGGGAAGCAUAUCAACGUGCUGGCCUCCACCUCUAGGAUGCCCUCUACCUGCCUGUCCUCUACCUCUAGCUGGCUGUACAGGUGUACUAGAAAUUGGAAUAGGUCCCAUAGCCUGAGUGCCCUGAUGAAAUCCACCUCUCCCGAGUCUGGGAGAAUCCCUCAUGAUGUGCCUAGUAUCGCCACACUCAUAAAAACCCCUCUGCAGGCGUGGCUGCUGGUACUGAGUAUGUGCCUGAUAACUAGAAUAACCGUUGUAGGAACCCCGUGCAACUGGUGCACUAAAAGAUGACUGACCCAUAUGAGUACCCUAAGGUCCUUGACUAGCUAAUGCACCACGAGUAGUCUGAAGUGCGGACUGGACUGGCCGACUACCUGAGUCUCCGUUGUGAUGGGUCAUAGCUAAAGUGUAGAAUCCACUGAAUCCUCCAGAACCUCGAGACCUCUUGGCCUCCUUAUCCUCCCUCUCCUAACCUCGAAUACGCUCUAACCUCCUGGCAAUCUCCACAACCUGCUGAAAUGGAGUAUUUGUCUCCAACUCCUGAGCCCCUCGAUAAAUCUGUAGACUCGCUCUCUAACUGUAGAAACCAAGGUAGGUGUAUGUCGGGACAGCUUUUUGAACCUGAUGGCGUACUCUGACACUGUCAUAGUGCCCUGGCGUAGCUGCUCAAACUCUGUGCUCCACGCAUCCCUGAGGGACUAGGGAUUCUAAAAACUGAGUCCAAGUGAGUGGUGCUGCAUCAACUUGCCUACCCUCAUCAUAAGCCUACCACCACUGAUACGCAACUCCUGACAAUUGAAAUGUAGUAAAAGAAACUCCGCUCACCUCCAUAAUACCCAUGGUGCAGAGAAUACAGUGACACUUUUGUAGAAAUUCUGUUCAUCCUCGGUAGCUGUGCCACUGAAAGUAAGUGGAUCAUACUUCUUGAACCUCUCAAGCCUCUUCUGCUCCUCCUCUAAUGCCCAUCGCCUGACCUCAGACUGAACCGGAAUAAUAGGUUGUACCAGCACCACACCCAGUGUAUGACUAACAUGAGCCCGCAACUCUAGAGUAUGGGCGGCGGGACUCGGAGCUCCUCCCCCAAUCUGUGAAGUAGCUGGUGCAACUAGGAUCAAUCCCGCCUGAGCCAAUGUACCAAACAUGCUUAUGAACUGCGCUAAAGUCUUCUGAAGUCUGGGGGUAGCAAUAGGUGCCUCCGGUGCCUGUCCCUAAGCGGAGCUACUAGUGGCUCCUCAACUGUUGUUCUGGUAGGUAAUCUAGCUACGACGCGUUCCCCUCCUCGUCCUCUACCUCAGACCCGGCCUCUCGUGGCUCUAGCAAGGGGCGCGAGUGUCUACUCGGCUGAUCUAGUAGCGCAUGUCCUCACCAUACGCGAGAGAAUAAAGAUACAAAGGCUCAAACUUCGAUAUCAACAAAUCCGCACGAUAGGAAUGAAAGAAGUGGAAUUUUUCCUAAUAGUUCUGUGGCCUCUCGAAGAUAAGUAUAGACGUCUCCGUACCGAUCUGCAAGACUCUACUAAACUUGCUCAUGACUCGUAGAACCAUGAACCUAGAGCUCUGAUACUAGCUUGUCAUGACCCGAAAUCCUACCAUAGGCAUCGUGAUAGCACUUAGUCUCUAAAAUUAGGUAAGACGAUUACUUACCACAAUUAAACCAGCUAAACAUGUUUGAAGCAAUUUUAAUAUAAAUAUUUGAAAUAAAUGUGACAUAAGCCUAUGCAGCAAUAAUCACAAUAAUCCUCUCAAGACUAGGUAAUACAGAGUCACGAACUCUAGUUGAAUACAUAGAAAUAUCUCCAAAAAACAAAGCACAAUACUAUUCGGAUAACUAGUUAACAGUAUAAUCAAAAGGAAAAGGACUCCAAGGAACUGCGAUUACCAAGUAGCUCAACCUUGAAUCCUCGUGAUCAAGAAGCUAACUGUACCUGAGUUCAAUAUCUCCAAUGCCUAGAUCUGCACAAAAAUGUACAGAAGUAUAGUAUGAGUACACCAUGGUCGGCACACAGUAAGUAUCAAGACUAACCUUGGUGGAGUAGUAACAAGGUAUAAGUCAAGACACAUACUAGUCAUAAUAACCUGUGCAGUAAAUAAGAAUAAAGAUAAUAAUGGAAGCAAUAAGCAGUAAAUGACAACAAGGAAUAAACAUGUGAUAUAACCGUAAAGUAAUCCGAACACCGGUUAAGUACUAGUGAAACCAAUUAAAGAAAGACAAUGAUAAUUGAAUAUUCAAACCGUUCUAACACAAGUUUCACAGCAGAAUUACUCCGAGAUACCUCAUCUCAUAAACACAAGUCACGAGUCUCAGACCACAAAUCAUAUGCUUAGGACAUCCAGUGCCCAGAUUAUUACUCACAACCGCACGGACAACUCACGUGCCAAUAUCGCAAUCCGCCCGGCAUGGUCACAGACACACAAUCACAAUCCACCUGGCAUGGUCAAAGGCCCAAUACCAAAAUCCGCUCGGCAUGGUCACAAUCUCACUAUCACAAUCCGCCCCGCAUGAUCACAUGCCCAAUAUCACAUUGGAAGCAGAUAAUACAAGAAUACAUGGGCAUCAUCAAUGAAUGUCAAGUUUCAUACUCUUGAACUGGUAUAAGUGGCAUGCUACGGUGUAUGCUUAUGCGAGUGUAUUAUUACAGUCCAGGUCAACAAGUAAUAUCAAAGACAUCGAGUAGCUCAUUGAAUGCAAUACAGCAAGUCACGUAAGGUGCAUGGCAUACAUAAGGAAAAUCACACCAUCACAGGAAUAUCAUAAACAUUUCGCCCCCACACCAUCACAUAUCAUCCCUGACAUAGCCACCCUUAUCUUUCCGUAUUGACAUUGACAUAAUAGCCACACUUAUCGGUCCACCCAGACAUUAACACAAUCACUCCGCCUAAUAGUCACCUGUAUCGCACCGCCCAGACAAUAACACAAUAGCCACCCGUAUCACUCUGCAUAAUAGCCACCCGUAUUACUCCGCCCAGACAAUAAUACAGUAGCCAUACGUGUCACUCUGCAUAAUCAACAACAGUGAGAUGCCACCCUUAUGUUAUGCAUAACAACAAUCAAUCCACAAAACAUAUCGACAUGUGCUCACAUCACAACAACACGACAUAUCAACUCGUACCACAAGUGCCCAUAGGCCACAACCUCUUAACAACAACAAUACCAAUAUCACCACAACACAUAGCCCACGGCUCAAACAUAAUGUGUAAAAUAUCUCAAUAGCAACAAAAUGAAACGGGGAAAAUAACUCGACAAUGAACAAUACUCCAUUAAACAACUUCAAUUAAUUGCUUAAGAAUAAACUCAAUAAUGAAGGUAUUUCCAUGAAAUGGCAACAUCGAUCUCUAGUGUAUGACAUAAGUUAACAAUGAAAGAGAUGGCAUGAACUAGCAACUACGUCUAAAUGCAUGAGAAUAACUUGACAAAGAAGGGAUAUCAUGUAAUAGCAACUUCAAAUGAGAAUAAUUUAACAAUGAAAGAGGUAACGUGAAGAUAAAAGGUAACAACUUCAAAUACAGCAUAUAAGAGUAAACUUGACAAAUAAGGAUAGAACAUGUGCUAACAACUUCAAUUAAAGAGUGCAAGAAUAAAUUUAACAAAGGAAUGUAGAACAUGUAAUGAAAAAUUCAAUUAAAUGCAUAUAAGAAACCUAAGAGUCUAAUCCGGUCAAUUCUCACAUAUAAGGCCGUGUACACACUUGUCACCUCAUGUCCACUUCUUUCACAUAAUCCAAAAUAGUGCAAUUAAACCAAAUCUUACGGGGUAGUUCUCCCAAACAAUGUUAGACAAUAUACUUACCUCAAAGAGACUAAAUCAAUACUCUAAAAAGACCUCCCCAUGUGAAACAACCUCUUGACGGCUCGAAUCUAACCAAAAUAACUUAAUAUCAUAAAUAAAAGUCAUAGGAAACAAUUCCGGAUAAUAAAGUUUCGAUAUUUAAUGAAAAUAAAAAGUUAACCCAAAAAGUCAACCCCGGACCCGCACCUCGAAACCCGACAAAACCAACAAAAUCCGAAUACUCAUUCCGAUACUAGUCCAACCAUACCAAAAUCAUCCAAUUCUGACCUCAACUUGGCCUUCAAAAAAUCAUUUUUGUGUUUUAGAAUGUUUUUAUAAAAAUCCCCAAUUUCUUCAAUUCAAAUCACUAAUUAAAUAAUAAAAACAAGUACCGAAUCAUGAAAUAUAACCAUAUACGGGUCAAGAAUACUUUUCCCAAUCCAAAUAGUGAAAAUUUCCUCCACAAUUGUCCAAAACCGAGCGCUCUAACUCAAAAAGUGAUAAAAUAACAAAAGCCCUCGAAAUAGAGUACUAUAUAGUCUGCCCAGGUAUUUAUACAUCGGGAUCGCGAAGAAGAAACAUCAUUGCCCAGAAAUGCGCUACCUGAACGCGACAUCAGGGACGCGAACGUGACUCACCACAACCUCAGCUUACGCGAUUGCGAGCCACUUCAUGCGAACGCGAAGAACAAAACUACCUGGCCUCCCCAGCAAGGUCGCCCACUACGCGGUCGCGUAACCCCAAUCGCGCAUGCGCUAAGUCAACCUCCACAAGUCUUGAUCACGAACCACACACUACGAACGCGAAGAAGGAAAAUCUUCCAGUCCACCAAACACCCUACGCGAUCGUGACGAACUCUUUACGAUCGCGAACAAUGACAUCAGACACCAGCAAUUAGAAAUUCCAAACCUGAAGAAAUGGCCAGUAGCCAAUCCGAAACACAUCCGGGACCCCGUCCGAACAUACCAACAAGUACCAAAAUAUAACGCAGACCUGAUCGAGGCCUCAAAUCACAUCAAACAACAUCAAAACUACGAAUCACACCAUAAUUCAAGCCUAACAAACUAAUGAACUUUCAACUUUUAUAACUUGCGUUGAAUCAUAUCAAAUCAACCCGGCGUGACCUCAAAUUUUGCAUGCAUGUCCCAAAUGACACAACAGAACUAUACAAACUCUCGACAUCACAAUCCAAAUCCUAUAUCAACAAAAUCAACUCCCGGUCAAUUCUCUCAACCUUUCAAACCUUUAACUUUCGCCAAAAAGCAUAUAAAUAACCUACGGAUCUCCAAAUCCAAAUCCGGACAUACGCCUAAGUCCAAAAUUACUAUACGAAACUAUUGGAAUCAUCAAAAUACCAUUUCGGAGUCGUCUAUACAAAAGUGUAACUCCAGUCAACUCUUACAACUUAAGCUUCUAAAAUAAGAAUCAUUCUUCCAAAUCGAUCCCGAGUCACACAAAAACCAAAAUCCACAAGUCAUAAUACAUGAUAAAAAGCUUCUCAAGACCUUAAACCACUGAACAGAAUGCUAAAGAUCAAAAUGACCAAUCAUAUAGUUACAAGUUUGCUAAACUAGUGAGAAUCUAGGUAAGGGUUCACGAUACCUAAGGGGAAGGUGUUAGGCAUCCCUUAAAAUAUACCAUACGGUAGUUCCUUAAACUUAUUCUAAAAUGGGGAAAUAUAAUCUAUAUUCUAAUUAUUUGUUUAUCAAUUACUAGAGUCUAAGUUCCGAGAAGAGCUAACACAAUAAUUACGUAUCAAAAUAAAUGGUUAAUCAAGUAUAUAUUAGUCAAAUAAGGUUUAUUGGCUUACUCUAUGAAUUAUUAAUAAGGUUUUUACUAGGCCUAAAAAAGUGACUAAUCAUAUUCAAAAUUCUUUUCAAUUUGUAAUACGCCAACUUUCUUAUUUAUUUAAAGGUAAAAAUAUACUAGCUAGAAUGAUGACUUUAUUACAUAAUUAGUUGGUAAAUCAAUUUUAAAGCUCCUCAAGUCUAAGUGAUGACAUAAUUUCUGAUUUAGUUAUAGAUUAAAGUAAUCCGCCGAUGGACAUAUAAGAUUAUAUUUUAAGCUAAGAAUGGCACACUAAAAUAAAUACCCAUAACUAAUAUUAACAAGGCUAAUCACAGAAGAAUGAAAGAGAUAUACAAUACAUGAAGUAAAACCAAACCUCCCUUUGGAAUUUCAAAGUUGUACAAAUAUUUCAAUGUUUUUAGAAAACAAGGGAAUAAAGCGAGCCUGAUUUGAACUGCAUGUAUCAAUUCUUCCUGACGAUGUAUCUCUAGUGAAGAUUCCAAUGUAUAGAGACUUUUGUAUACGGGUGAAAUCGCGGCUAACGUACAUCCUGAUUUUCCGGUGGAUCAAACGAAGUAAGAGUAUGAGUAUAUGAGAUCAAAAUCAAAGCUGGGAACUCUUUGUUUCGAGGCCCAAACAGAGUGCUCGUCAUCAGAGCUGAUAAAAUGAUGCACCCCGGACCUAGGACAAGUUUUGAGACUUCGAGAAGAGCAAUGAACGGUUGUAGGUGACAAAUAGAGGGUCGUGAUAUCCAGAACCAACCGGAUUUCAUGGCGCAGAUCUCGCUUGAUGGCAGUUAUGGAUCAGUAAUUAAAGACAGAGGAUGAUUUUUACCUUUUUUACACUUAUACUAGGGGUGAAACUCUCCUACUAUAUAAAGGGAAAGUUUUUUCUUUGAUAGACACAUUGUAAUGCUCAAACCAGGGCAAUACUAAUUCAUUUUUCUACUUUCUAGCUAUUUCAAAGUUCUUAUUUUAUUGUUUUUGUUCAUACGCAAUUGGCUUCGAACCAAGGGUCUAAUCGAGGGCAAUACUACUAUUUAACCUAAAUACGAGCCAGGUCGUAACAUCACAAUUGGUUUGACUAUUCAUUUUAUCUUUAACUCGUUUAUCUAACAUUCUUGAUUAUUUGUGUUGAAUCAAUCCAUAUAUCCUUAAAACCACGUACAAAUUUAAUUGUUAUGCGUUUCAACGGUAAAUAUUUUGGCGGCCAUCGUGGGGAUAAGGAUAAAAGUGGUGAUUUUAUACGAAUCUCCAUAACACACUCUAUUUUACGCUUGUUCUUUAAACUCUUAAUUUUAGGUCAGUUUAAAAAAUGUCAAAUUCUCAGUCUUCCCACUUGAACGUUGACACUAACUCUGGCCAUCAUGGAAAAAACAACAAUCUGGUGUCUGGAAAUGAGGUGCCUCCUGCUGAUCCCAACGAUGUCCCAGUUGCUGAUCCGGUCGAUGCUAACUCACAGGUGGCCAUCGGCGUCAACCUUCCAACUGAUCCCGAAAAUAGUAUCUGCGGAAAGCCCCGACCAACGACACGAGAAGCGCCCGAAGGCAAAGGCGAUGGGGUUAACCUACGGUUAAUCUUUGAAAUGUUGCAGGCUCAAUAGGUGGCGACAAGGCAGCUGCAAAAUCAAAGUCAUGCCCCUAGCAGAGUUGAGCCCAAACCGUCCCGGGAGAAUAUUCGAAGCAAUGAGCAGAUUACCGAGAGACCGGGUGAAGCUGAGUCCGAGGUCAGUCCCGAAGUAAUGAAAAUGCUUAAAGCAUUAACGAAGCGGGUGGAAUCAAGUGAAAAGAAAAUUGAAGCCAAUGACAAGAAGGUGGAAACAUACAAUUCUAGGGUCGACCAAAUCCCGCGAGCGCCCCUGAUAUUGAAGGGGCCGGAUUCCAAGAAGUUUCUCCUCAAGCCUUUUCCUCCGAUCGCUGCACCGAAGCCGAUCCCUAAGAGGUUUCGUAUGCCCGACAUUCCAAAAUAUAACGGAACCACCGACCCGAAUGAGCACGUGGCCUCAUAUACGUGCGCAAUCAAAGGGAAUGACUUGGAAGAUAAUGAAAUCGAGUAGGUGUUACUAAAGAAGUUCGGGGAAACUUUGUCCAAAGGAGCAAUGAUAUGCUAUCAAAACUUACCCCCCAAAUUCCAUUGACUCGUUUGCUAUGCUUGCAGAUGCUUUCGUGAAGGCCCAUGCCGGGGCCAUCAAGGUCGAGACUAGAAAGUUGGACCUUUUCAAGGUUAAACAAAGAGACAACAAGAUGCUCAGAGAAUUCGUACGAGGUUCCAGAUAGAAUGGAUAGACUUGCCUUCGGUCAUAGAUGAUUGGUCUGUUCAGGAGUAUACCCAAGGACUUAACGCCCGAAGCUCCUUGGCUUCACAUUAGCUAAAACAAAACUUGGUAGAGUACCCGAUGAUAACUUGGGUCGACGUCCACAAUAGGUACCAGUCGAAGAUUAGAGUCGAGGAUGAUAAACUCGGAGCCCCUUCUAGGUCUUUUUACCCCAUCAGGGCUGACGACAGGUCUAAGAGAGCCGUCCAUAAUGAGCCAAGACCGGUCCAGGAUCAAUACCAACCAUACAGCUUGGAUCGAAGGGGAAAUGGGUCUGGGCGUCAGCCCACAAGGAACAAAAAGAGAAGCAAUCGAGGGUCUAGUAGCCGAGGUCUGAUGAGAAAAAUUGGUUUCAAUAGGUUUCUCUCGGGGUAGAGUAGCACCAAGAUUGUUAGAAUACAACUUCAAUGUUUAUGCGGCCAACGUCAUAUUCGCCAUCGCGCAUAUCAAGAAAACCGAAUGGCCCCGACCAUUGCAGUCCGACCCUACCCAAAGAGAUACUAACUUGAUGUGUAAGUAUCAUGGAACUCAUGACCACAAAACCGAGGAUUGCAGACAAUUAAGAGAAGAAGUUGCCAG